CCACAAUCUGAGGAUCAAAAUUUUUAAAAAAGACUGACUUGCAUCUUUAAAAGGAUUGGAAGGUAAAACUUGAUUCAAAUCUGAAAUAAUAUUUGUUCCGAAUACAAGCCUUCUAAGUGCCUGCAAAUACGCUGAUAUUUUCUUUAAAAAAAAAUGUACAAGGUGAUUUUCUUGAUUUUAAUCAUCAUGUCUGCUACGAAUGCUGAUUUUUGUACAGAACCAAAAGAUUGUUCAAAGGUCAGUUGCUUAGCAGUUGUAUGCGAGAAAAACCAGAAGACUUUGCUACCCAAUGCUUGCAGAUGUUGCACUGAAUGCGUGGAUAGAAAAGAUACUUGGGGAUAAGUAAUGAUGAUACAAAUAUCCGGAAAUACAAGUAAUGAUACUUUGAUAUUCUGCAAUCUCACCUUCAGUCACAGAAGAAUUUGAACUGACUCUGUUACGAUUUAACAAUUUUAAAUUGCCCAAAUAAAGAAUAAAAUAUUUCAAGAACUAA